AGUGAACGCUGGCGGUAGGCCUAACACAUGCAAGUCGAACGGCAGCACAGGAGCGCGUGCUCUCUGGGUGGCGAGUGGCGGACGGGUGAGGAAUACAUCGGAAUCUACUUUUUCGGGGGGGCUAACGGAGGGAAACUUACGAUAAUACCGCGUACGACCUACGGGUGAAAGCAGGGGACCUUCGGGCCUUGCGCGAUUGAAUGAGGCGGUGUCGGAUUAGCUAGUUGGCGGGGUAAAGGCCCACCAAGGGGACGAGCCGUAGCUGGUCUGAGAGGGUGAUCAGCCACACUGGAACUGAGACACGGUCCAGACUCCUACGGGAGGCAGCAGUGGGGAAUAUUGGGCAAUGGGCGCAAGCCUGAUCCAGCCAUACCGCGUGGGUGAAGAAGGCCUUCGGGUUGUAAAGCCCUUUUGUUGGGAAAGAAAUCCAGCUGGUUAAUACCCUGGGGUCAUGACGGUACCGUAAGAAUAAGCACCGGCUAACUACGUGCCAGCCGCCGCCGUAA
rnacentral:rRNA from 1 species